AGCAGCCGCGGUAAUUCCAGCUCCAAUAGCGUAUAUUAGUGUUGUUGCGGUUAAAAAGCUCGUAGUUGAAUUUCGGGAUUGGGAUAUAUCGGUCAUGUCUUUAGGGGCAUGAAUCGGUGUGUGGCUAAUUCUCACCUUCUGGUGAAUUGGGAUGCUCUUGGGUAUUUCAAUGAACUAGGACUUUUACUUUGAAAAAAUUAGUGUUUAAAGUGGGCAUUUUUGCUUGAAUACAUUAGCAUGGAAUAAUAAAAUAGGACGAUGGUUCUAUUUUGUUGGUUUUAGGACCACGUAAUGAUUAAUAGGGAUAGUUGGGGGCAUUAGUAUUCAAUUGUCAGAGGUGAAAUUCUUGGAUUUAUUGAGGACUAACUACUGCGAAAGCAUUUGCCAAGGAUGUUUUCAUUAAUCAAGAACGAAAGUUAGGGGAUCAAAGACGAUUUAUGUACGUCGUAGUCUUAACCAUAAACUAUGCCGACUAGGAAUCAGACAAAGUUAAUUUUUUAACGACUUGUUUGGUACCUUACG
rnacentral:rRNA from 1 species